GGUUGGGGCCGCCACGGACAGGGGGCCGGUCACUUUACAGGUGGAGGGUUUACAGGCUCCAGGACAAAAUGUCCCUCGGCGGAGGGCCCCAGAGCCCUGGGACCACCCCAAAGGCCCUGCGGUGGGAGGGAGCCAGGUGCGCUGCGGGUGCAGAGGAGGGAGGGCAGGUGGGGCACAGCCUGGUGGAGAGAACCUUGAGCCCAGGCGGGCGGACUUCCAGGCACCCGGCAGGACAGGCGGGAUGGGACCCCCGUUUUGAGCAAUGACGCUGGUCCUGAGAGGGCUACAGCAAGGAUUACAGUUACCCCUUGAACAGUUGCCUGGCACAGAGACAGAGGAGCCAGUUGAUGUUGGGUGUUGACCAACAGGGACCAGCAAGGGAGAUAAAGACGAACAGACCCAGCACAGUGUGCCAUCGCGUACCUGACAGGGGAGAGCCGAUGGGAACUCGCACGAUGCAACAAUCUCCUCUUCCAGAUGGUGUUCCAUCCCUGUCACACGUUGCCCAGCAGAGCUCUGGUACUGUGGGUUUCUUUUGUUGACAAUUUCUUUCUGCCAAGGCCAAUGUUUCAAAGAUCGGUGUUGCAAGUCCUGAAUUUAGGAAAGAUCUGAUUCUCCCAUCAAUCCUUAAAUCACCUCCCUCCUGUGCUGGCUGUGACGACACAUGCUGACAUGUUGUGACCUGCCAUGGGGGACAGCCCCUCAUGGCAAUGAGCCAAAGAAGGAACAGCAGAAAGCCCGCAAGGAACUCAAUGUCACCAACAGCCAUGCGCACUUGGAAGGAAAUCGUUCCCGGCUGAGUCUCCAGAUGAGACCAGAGAGGCUGGACCAGCACCUUGCUUGCAGCCUUGUGACAGCCCCUGCGGCCUGGAGGACCCAGCCGAGCGUUACCUGGACUUCAGACCCACAGAAACCGUGAGCUUCCUGACAAGGGGCGAAGGGGGAGGAGGCGGGAGAGCAAGGAAGCAUUUUGAAGACUGGUCUCUAAAUGGCUUCGGGAACCCCGGCAUCAGAAGGGCCUGGGCGUGGAUGGCUGCUUGGUGCCCACCUGCUCACCCGUCACUGGGCCACUGACUGUCACACAGACGCCCAGGCUGGGCACCCAGGAGGCUGCUUCCACCUGGAGCUCUCCCUGGAGCUGGGCCUCGAAGAGGAGCAAAAGUCCGCGCUUCCCCCAGAGCUGUGAGCAGAUGCACCCCGAAACCGAGUACACCGGGGUGGGGCACCCCGGCUCCGCCACGACCCACCCCAAGCUGCAGGGGAGCCGCUGGCCUGCCGGCGGGGGCGGGCGCCACCUGCUGGGCAUAGGUGAGAAGCGCGUCCGGUGCCGGCGUGGGCGUCGGUUCCUGGGAGGAAGGCAGCGCUCGGGCCACGCAGCCCCGGGGCGGGUGGGUCCUGGGCUUCUGCGGGGGCCGCAGCACCCUCCUCCCCACAAGUUUCUCUCAACAGCGGCCUCACGGUGCUGUUCACAGACGUGACAUCUUUAUAUGUCAGAGGUGUGUCAGACACUAAAUCUCUAUUAUCUCCCCAAACGCCGACCAAGUGCCAGCCCCUGGGCCGGGCGCUGGUGACAUGGUGGCCAAGAAGGCGGCCGUGGCCGGCACGGGCCCUGGAAGCGAGAGGCUGAGACCGAGCCACUUGUCACACAGGAGCCCUUAAACCACAAACAUAAUCGUGCUUAAUGGAGAGAGAGUGUAACAUUGCCCCAGACGCCCUCCCCUGGAGCUCUGCAGGCUCAUCAAGGGACGAGCCCGUUAACACCCAGUCCUCGAACGCCGGCCACCACGGACCACCUUUGCUCCUCCACCUCCAGCCCUGUCUCACUGAAUGAGCCCACCAUCCUCCACUAGGGAAAAGGGUCCCUGAAGGAAGAUGUGGCAGUCCUGGGGCCGCCUGGGAAUUGCCCUCUCCUCCCCAGCCUCAGUUUCUCCUCCUGUCUAGUAAGAGGUCAGACGGGACGCUCUAAAAACCUAGGCUGAUCUGAAGUGUGAUGAUGCCCUUUGGUACCACUUGGAUUUCUUCACACAUCUCCCUUCACCAGAGAGUGCAGCGACGCACAGACCCCUUAGACCUACUGCGUCCUCAGCUUCCCCGAGGUGACCCAUCUUUGGGAGAUCAAAGCCAAAUGGUUUGGAGACUUGGAGCAAACCAGACUCCAGGGCCACAUGCAGCUCACGGUUACGGCAGCCAGGACAGUGAUGCGAUGCAGCGGCUGCUGGGAGGGCUCUGAAGGCCUGGCCCUGGGGCAGGUCCCCUCCCUCUCUCAGACUGGCUCCUCACUGUAUCUGCAGACGCUUCUAGAGCUGGGUCUGAAGCCCGUUAGUGGUGUACUGUCUUCCUCUGAUUAUCAAGCUUACACUAACCUGAUGAGGCAAAUUGAAGUGUGUGGACUGCAUGUCUCCAUUCUGAAGAUAUUGCCGUAUGGGACUCUGGCUUUGAAGGGGUCUCCUAGCAGAUGCCCCCCACUCUAGAUGCUGCCCAACAUGCCUCUCCUGCUGCUUGCAUCCCAUGCAGCCACAGAAGAAGAAGGUUAAAGGUUCCCGGCCUCACUUCAUCUUGGAGAUCCAUCAUUUCCUUACUUUCAUGCCAACUCAGCAAUGUGUAAAAAGAAAGUCCUUAAAAAAUAUUUUAUUCAGCAUGUUAAUUAUAAUCAGGGGAGUUAUUAAAGGUUUCUAAUCUGACAGAGCGCUGGAAACAAAAGUUCUUUCUGAGAACUUUCCAGAAUUUUCUCUGGCCUUCAGCCUGUGCUUCUCUUUUAACAUGCACUGCAGCAUAUUGUAAUUAUCCAUGGGUCUGUUUUCUGCUCAAGACCACAGGCUCUUCAAGCGCCAGGAGGAAGGAAAGCUCGGUGUCCUCCAACCUGACGUGGACGCAAAACAAUGAAGGUGCCUGAGAAGCCUGUGGAGAAAGGUGAACAAAUGGAUGAAUGAAUCCUCGUGAUAACUUCUAACCUACUUCAUCAGCACAUGCUGUGAAUUUCAAGAACAACCAGUGUCCUGGGAGUGUAUCGUGGGCUCUCCUAGCAUGCCGGGAGAAGGGAUGGCAUUUAUGCAGGAUAUGAGCACGUCACUCACUACUAAACCCAUACCUUGGUCCGAAGGACCAUAUUUCAGGCAGGAUAUAGUCAAGAAAGCUUCAGAACUGACCAGUAAAAAAAAAAUGUUAAUGCCACAAAAUGAAAAUACUUCAUGCCAGUUAGAAUCUCACCAAUCAAAUUAGGGGCCCGUGGAUUUUAGCAGCCCUAACCAGAGGGCCUGACCAACGGGUAUCAAAAGCCUGGCAGAUAAUAAGCUGGAUUGUCUGAUGGAGCUCAACCCUCAUCUUCCUUAAAAUGGAACUGAUCCUGGUCCCUAAAUAUACAUGCGUCUUUCAAAACCUUGCUCCUUUCCCCACCUACCUUCACACUUCUGGCUCAAGGGGAGAAAAUAACCUACAAGCAAUUCAUCUUCUUCAAGGGCUGCUGGCAAGCAUAUAUAGUUUUUCACAGCUGAGUUAUUUCUGAUCUUGGUCCUACAGAGAGCACAGAGGCUGGGAGACAUGUGGAAGCUGCGCCAAGCCAAACAGUGUCUCAAAGUCGGCACUGGAUCCACGAGCCUCAUGAAAGUUUUACAAAAACUUUCUAGUUUUACAAAAAACACCUUAAAACACUCGUGAUAUAAAACCAGUGAAAAUGAGAGUCAGAGAGGGGAUGGUCCUGAGUGUGAGAGUGAGUUGGCCUCUCAGUCCCCAAACAUGUGGCCUCGGGGCUUGUGAAGAACCACAAAACACUGGAGUUAAACAGGCCCAGGCUCCCCUGGUGACAGCCAAACCCAGAGGUGCGAGGAAAGGUUGGCCUCUCUUCUCAGCUGUGUGACCCUCGGCACGUCACCUACGUUGAGUCUCCAUUUUCUGAACAUAAAACAGAAGUGAUGGUGAUGCUAAUAAGCCUACCUUAUAAGGUUGUCGUAACAAUCACACAACAUCACAUGUGUAGCUAUAUACGAUCACAGUGUCUAGCAAGUUCCCAGAGCAGCUUAAUGUUCAUGGUAUGACAGUUUCUUCUUUGCUGCAUGACAUUUUUAUUAUUGUAUUGACAUUUCUGAGAUGACAAUGAUGAAGGAGAAGAAAUCGAACCUGAGAGACACAGACAUGAAUAAAGUCACUUUAAAAAUCGGUGUCAGAAGCUGGAUGACAGCCCAGCUCUCCAGACUUCGGUCCUGUGUUCUCUCACCAUUGCUCAUGUCUAAUAGUCACCAUGUGUCUAGUGUUACUGUGAACUAAAUCUCUAAAGUGGUUUUGUAUUCACUCAGUGCUUCCAUACAUGUCUUCUUACUUCUGUCUUAUAUUAGGGAAAACUUGAAAAAAAUAGAAGAAAAGCUACCAGUGGCACUCUCAAAGAAAGCAGAUAUUGUGCCUAUGAAACAAGAACAGGACACUACUAAAAAUGAGCGCUGAGAGAAUGUAAAAAGAGCUCUUGGAAAUUAAAAAAUAGCAGAGAUCUAAAUAGUUAGUAGAGGAGUUGGAUUACAACUUUGAAGAAAUACUCCAGAAAGGAGAGCAAAAGGACAGAGAUGGAAGACAGGAGAUGUGUCGGUUAAUUUCAUGUGAUCCUUGGCUGGAUGACAGGAUGCCAGUAUUUGGCUGAACAUUAAUUCUGUGGCUGUGAGGUCUUUUACAGAUGAGAUCAGCAUUGAACUGGCAGGCUGAGUAAAGCAGAAUGCCCUUCCUAAUGUGAGUGGGCCUCAUCCAAUCUGUUGAGGGCCUAAAGAACAGAAGGAUGGAGGAAGGGAAGCUUUGCUCGCUCUGUCUGACUGCUUGAGACAUCGGCCUUCUGCUCUCAGACUGGACCUUACACCAUCAGCCUCUGGAACUGCAUCACUGGCUUUACUGGGUCUCCAGCUUGCAGACAGCUGAUCAUGGGACUUCUCAGCCUCUAUAAUUUCAUGAGAGAGAAUAGAUAGAGAUAGAUAAUAGAACCAGUAAGAUAGGUAUAGAUACAGAUAAAGACGUAGAUCCUACCAGUUCUCUUUCUCUGGAGAACUCUGACUAAUACAGGAGGAAAAAAACGAAGCAGUCCAGGAGACAUGACAUCCAAUUAAUAGGAGUUCCAGGGAGGCAGACCAGAGAAAAUGGAGGGAAGAAUUUGUUAAUAAUUUAGGGAAUAUUCCAAAACAAAUGAACCUAAAUAUAUAGAUUACACAGACAAGCAAGGACCCUUCUGAGCCAAGCAUUAACAGGUCCAUACCAGGGCACAGCACCAUGCAACUUGAGAUGCUGAGACAAAGAGAACAUCCCAUAAGCUUCCAGGGAGAGGAAAAGGGUCACGCAGGAGGGUCAGGAACAGCUUUGAGCUUGCGGGCAGCACAGGCAGCUGGCAGGCACAGGAGCAAUGCAUGGGAAAUGCUGAGGGAAAAGUAUUUCCAAGCUAGAGUUCUUUAUCCAGACAGGCUAUCAAUCCAAAAUGAGGAUGGAAUGAAGAUAUUUUUAGACAUGUGAGGUCUUGAGGCUUUUACAGCCAAUCCUCAUUAUACACAGAUUCUUUAUUUGCAUGUUCACCUACUCGCUAAAAUGUAUUUAUAAUUAACCUCAAAAUCAAUACAGUGCCUUCAGGGUCACUCACAGACAUGCACAGAGUGACAAAAACAAAUGUGAGUGACCUCAGCUGACUCUCUGCCUCUUCUCCAAUACUGUACACAGGUGUUCUUUUUGUGGUUCUGUUUUUGUGCUUUUUUUUUUUUCUGGUGAUUUCACUGUUUAAAAUGGUCCCAAGCAUAGUCUGAAGGGUUGUCUUGUGUUCCCAAGGGUCCCCAAGUGAAAGACUGGGACGUGCCUUAUGGAGAAAAGGCGUGUGUCAGAUCAGCUUCGUCCAGACAUGAGUUAUGGGGCUGCUGGUUAAUGAAUUGGCGGCACACAUUAAAUAGGGUGUCUCUAAACAGAAAAUACACACAAAAAAAGAUUAGGUAUUGAUCGGUUGUUGAAAAUGUGGUGACCGCAGACUCAUAACAGCCUAACCUUGUAAUUCCUCCCAGGAGCGGUGGCCCAGUAUUGGCGAAUUCAGCAUUUAUAGAGAUCGUACAGAACAUAACUACUUCGAAUAAUGGGAAUGGGCCAUGCUUUCCUUAUGCUCUUUCUCAGGAGGUUACCAGAGCAGAUGCUUUACCAGAAUGAGGGGGAAAACCAAGAAAGAAGAAGAUAAGGGAUACAGGAAAUGAGAAAGGCAAAGGAACCCCCAGGCUGUGAGGGGGGCGACCCCAGACAGAAGACAAGCCCCAGGCCUGGAGAGUCCCAGCUCCCCAGGUGUGGGCUCCUCCAGGCGUGGAGAAGACCAGGGGCAUCUGAAAGCCCUGUGAGAAAGUGCAGGACUGAGUUAGAGGCCAUUUCUCUGCACAGAAAACUGGGCAAAGGAGAAACAGGACAAUAAUUAGCUGGCGCAGGGGAAACCACUGCAGGUUAGAUGCAUCAUAGAUAAGGUAAGAGCACUUUCUCUAUCAGCCCCUGUGCAAAACAGCAUUUUAUGCGAAUUAAUUCAUUUAAAGCUACAGCCCUGCAAGGCUGUGUGGACAGCUUUAAUCAAAAGGUUGAGAACGUGUCCAGGACCACACAGCUAAUAAACGAUAGGAGGAUUGGAACCUAGGCAGGCAGCCCCAGUCUCCAUGCCAAAACAGAGGUGACCAACAUUCUAAGUCUGUAUGGAGAGGUCUGAGGCCAUGGGACGAUGUAUGUGGGUGGGAUGUGGGGGGUGGGGGAGAAUGUGGCAGGAAACAGCAAAAUCCUCACCUUCCAGAACAAAGAGCAACCGACAAGGCUGACAGCUACAAAACUAAGAUGCAGGCCCAGAGGCUCAGAGGUCAAAACCAAAGUAAUUAGUGCAAGGAGCUGAA